rnacentral:rRNA from 1 species
AGAACGAACGCUGGCGGCAGGCUUAACACAUGCAAGUCGAGCGCCCCGCAAGGGGAGCGGCAGACGGGUGAGUAACGCGUGGGAACAUACCCUCCGGUUCGGAAUAGCUCAGGGAAACUUGGAUUAAUACCGGAUACGGCCUAGCGGCGAAAGAUUCAUCGCCGGAGGAUUGGCCCGCGUUCGAUUAGCUAGUUGGUGAGGUAACGGCUCACCAAGGCGACGAUCGAUAGCUGGUCUGAGAGGAUGAUCAGCCACAUUGGGACUGAGACACGGCCCAAACUCCUACGGGAGGCAGCAGUGGGGAAUAUGGACAAUGGGCGCAAGCCUGAUCCAGCCAUGCCGCGUGAGUGAUGACGGCCUUAGGGUUGUAAAGCUCUUUCGCUAGGGACGAUAAUGACGGUACCUAGACAAGAAGCCCCGGCUAACUUCGUGCCAGCAGCCGC